GAGUGAAGAGCGAAACCACACAAAGGGGCCCUGUUUGAUCUUUGUUCUGAAAACUCAAAGACAGCAAGAGCUGUAAAAAUUACUUGCUGUUCCCAUGUAACGAGCAAAUUGGUACAAUAUUUCGCAAAGGCCCAGGACUCUUUCACGUUUCUUAAGGACAACUGAAUGCACUUUGUCUCGCUAAGACUGAUAGACCUCGUCUGGAUAGAUGGGAGCCGCUUUUCUUCCCUGACACUCCUUCUGUGAAACUCUGCACUGUGUUAAAAUCCUUUGAUGCAGGAAUUUCAGUCACAGGUCAUUCUGUAUGUAAGUUUAUAUUCCCUUGGUUAUUUAGAUCUGUAUAUUAUACAUUCUCAAGCUUUUUACAAGCUCAUUUGUGUGUCUCAUGAUUAAAAAAUCUGUUUAUGUUUUUUUGCUUGUCAAGACAUAAUCAGCUUUCAUGCUGUGUCUAUGUGAUAUGUUCAAUAAUCAGUCAGGUUUAUGGGGAAAGCAGGAGCAGCAAUGCCAUACAAAGUACUUCUCGGGGAUGAGUCUGAAGCUGUGAACUCGCUUUUCAUUCUGCUUCACCUAAAAUCUUAAAGCUAUGUGCCGCCGUCAAGGAAGUUUUUGUAGCAAUCUGGGCUCUGUUAGCUGACUAGCUCCCCCUCUUGAAACUCUGCAAACACUGACAGAGAACUAGUCAAGGCUGUAAAGAGAAGUGAAAUGAAAUCCAUCGGUACUGUAGUACUUCAUUGUUAUAUCAGUUGUGGAUUUUUAUUUUUUCCUUUGCAACCUUGACAGCUGGGGAACAGUCCUUGCCUUGCUGUUGCUGCUGGUUUCUGAACUGAAGUUUUAAGAACAUAUCAGGGGUUUUGGUGCCUGUUGCAAAAGGGUUGAGGGCUGCAAAGUUCACCCUAGUGCUGGUGUCCAGGGGGGAUGGAGAGAGGAGCUCCCCAGCUGAAGGGCACUGGAGAAGGACAGAGGAGGACAAGGAUGGCUGGGGGACAUCAUGGUUCAGCUCCACCCUGCAGCAGACCCUAUGGAGAGACUGCAGCGUACAGCGGGGCAGGAAGGGCAGUGCCCAUCUGUGCAGGAGUGCAAACAUCAGCUGUGCCUCCUGGGGCAUUCCCUCCUGACAAUGAGCCCAGCUGACACAGGAGGUGGCAGCUGUGCCUCCACGCUGCAUGGCUUGGCGAGGAACGGGGCUGUAAACAUGAGAGACAGGGAAGACAACUAUUCACACAGCCAGGCAGCUGUCUCAUCUACAAAGGUGCCAGCACUGAAUCUGGGUGGGAUAUAA
rnacentral:lncRNA from 1 species